CGAACAGCAAUCCAUACAGAUGCCCUCUAUUUGCAGAGCACGAAGAGCCAGGACAGCCGCCGCCUUCCCGCCAGGCACUGCGCGGGUGCUUCAUAUCUGCCCUGGGAGGCCCACUUCUCACGAUGAGAGGAUAAUUCACUCACUAUAGCCCAUUCAAUCUUCAGCCUCU
rnacentral:sRNA from 1 species